AGAGGGUGCGAGCGUUAAUCGGGAUUUACUGGGGCGUAAAGGGCGCGUAGGUGGCUGUUUAAGUUAGAUGUGAAAGCCCUAGGGCUCAACCUGGGGAACUGCAUUUAAAACUGGGCAGCUAGAGGCUAGUAGAGGGGAGUGGAAUUUCCGGUGUAGCGGUGAAAUGCGUAGAUAUCGGAAGGAACACCAGUGGCGAAGGCGACUCUCUGGACUAGUACUGACACUGAGGCGCGAAGGCGUGGGGAGCAAACAGGAUUAGAGACCCUGGUAGUCCACGCAGUAAACGAUGAAAACUAGCUGUUGGUGUGCAUGACACAUCAGUGGCGAAGCUAACGCGAUAAGUUUUCCGCCUGGGGAGUACGGCCGCAAGGCUA
rnacentral:rRNA from 1 species